rnacentral:rRNA from 1 species
UGCUGGAGGUAUCAGAAGUGCGAAUGCUGACAUAAGUAACGAUAAAGCGGGUGAAAAGCCCGCUCGCCGGAAGACCAAGGGUUCCUGUCCAACGUUAAUCGGGGCAGGGUGAGUCGACCCCUAAGGCGAGGCCGAAAGGCGUAGUCGAUGGGAAACGGGUUAAUAUUCCCGUACUUGGUGUUACUGCGAAGGGGGGACGGAGAAGGCUAUGUUGGCCGGGCGACGGUUGUCCCGGUUUAAGCGUGUAGGUGUGUGUUCCAGGUAAAUCCGGUUCACUUUAACACUGAGGCGUGACGACGAGGCACUACGGUGCUGAAGCAACAAAUGCCCUGCUUCCAGGAAAAGCCUCUAAGCAUCAGGUAACAUCAAAUCGUACCCCAAACCGACACAGGUGGUCAGGUAGAGAAUACCAAGGCGCUUGAGAGAACUCGGGUGAAGGAACUAGGCAAAAUGGUGCCGUAACUUCGGGAGAAGGCACGCUGACACGUAGGUGAAGUGAUUUACUCAUGGAGCUGAAGUCAGUCGAAGAUACCAGCUGGCUGCAACUGUUUAUUAAAAACACAGCACUGUGCAAACACGAAAGUGGACGUAUACGGUGUGACGCCUGCCCGGUGCCGGAAGGUUAAUUGAUGGGGUCAGCGCAAGCGAAGCUCCUGAUCGAAGCCCCGGUAAACGGCGGCCGUAACUAUAACGGUCCUAAGGUAGCGAAAUUCCUUGUCGGGUAAGUUCCGACCUGCACGAAUGGCGUAAUGAUGGCCAGGCUGUCUCCACCCGAGACUCAGUGAAAUUGAACUCGCUGUGAAGAUGCAGUGUACCCGCGGCAAGACGGAAAGACCCCGUGAACCUUUACUAUAGCUUGACACUGAACAUUGAGCCUUGAUGUGUAGGAUAGGUGGGAGGCUUUGAAGUGUGGACGCCAGUCUGCAUGGAGCCGACCUUGAAAUACCACCCUUUAAUGUUUGAUGUUCUAACGUGGACCCGUAAUCCGGGUUGCGGACAGUGUCUGGUGGGUAGUUUGACUGGGGCGGUCUCCUCCUAAAGAGUAACGGAGGAGCACGAAGGUUGGCUAAUCCUGGUCGGACAUCAGGAGGUUAGUGCAAUGGCAUAAGCCAGCUUGACUGCGAGCGUGACGGCGCGAGCAGGUGCGAAAGCAGGUCAUAGUGAUCCGGUGGUUCUGAAUGGAAGGGCCAUCGCUCAACGGAUAAAAGGUACUCCGGGGAUAACAGGCUGAUACCGCCCAAGAGUUCAUAUCGACGGCGGUGUUUGGCACCUCGAUGUCGGCUCAUCACAUCCUGGGGCUGAAGUAGGUCCCAAGGGUAUGGCUGUUCGCCAUUUAAAGUGGUACGCGAGCUGGGUUUAGAACGUCGUGAGACAGUUCGGUCCCUAUCUGCCGUGGGCGCUGGAGAACUGAGGGGGGCUGCUCCUAGUACGAGAGGACCGGAGUGGACGCAUCACUGGUGUUCGGGUUGUCAUGCCAAUGGCACUGCCCGGUAGCUAAAUGCGGAAGAGAUAAGUGCUGAAAGCAUCUAAGCACGAAACUUGCCCCGAGAUGAGUUCUCCCUGAGACUUAGAGUCUCCUGAAGGAACGUUGAAGACGACGACGUUGAUAGGCCGGGUGUGUAAGCGCAGCGAUGCGUUGAGCUAACCGGUACUAA